CCUAUUUCCUAUUUAAAAUAUCAAUGGCAGUCGGAAUAAAAGUCUUCUUAUACUUGGCCUUUUUCACCAAAGAAAGAGAGUUAAACCAGGAUACAAUGUUGAAAGUAAGCACAGAUUCGAUAAGUGAUUUAUACACCACUGUCAGAAUGUCCUUUUCAACAUUAAAACUCCUCAAU